UCCUGCCAGAGGCCAUUGCUAUCAGGGUUUGACUAAGCCAUGCGAGUCGAGAGGUGUAAGACCUCGGCAUACUGCUCAGUAACACGUGGUUAACCUGCCCUAAGGUGGAGAAUACUCCCGGGAAACUGGGGCUAAUGCUCCAUAGUGGAUAUGUCCUGGAAUGGUAUAUCCUCGAAAGAUCCGUCGCCUUAGGAUGGGACUGCGUCCGAUUAGGUUGUUGGCGGGGUAACGGCCCACCAAGCCUUUUAUCGGUACGGGUUGUGGGAGCAAGAUCCCGGAGAUGGAUUCUGAGACAUGAAUCCAGGCCCUACGGGGCGCAGCAGGCGCGCAAACUUUACAAUGCGAGCAAUCGUGAUAAGGAAACCCUGAGUGCCUGUCGAUGCAGGCUGUUCAUAUAUCUAAAUCAUAUGUGAAGAAAGGGCAGGGCAAGACCGGUGCCAGCCGCCGCGGUAAUACCGGCUGCUCGAGUGAUGGCCACUAUUACUGGGUUUAAAGCGUCCGUAGCUUGACUGUUAGGUCUCUUGGGAAAUCUUCGCGCUCAACGUGAAGGCGUCUAAGAGAUACCGGCAGUCUUGGAACUGGGAGAGGUAAACCGUACUUCGGGGGUAGGAGUGAAAUCUUGUAAUCCUCGAGGGACGACCUAUGGCGAAGGCAGUUUACCAGAACAGCUUCGACAGUGAGGGACGAAAGCUGGGGGAGCAAACGGGAUUAGAUAC
rnacentral:rRNA from 1 species